AGAUGGACUCCCACUCUGUUGCCCAGGCUGGAGGGAAGUGGCGUGAUCUCAGCUCACUGCAACCUCUGCCUCCCGGGUUCAAGUGAUUCUCCUGCCUCAGCCUCCCAUGUAGCUGGGACCACAGGGCCCCCCCACCACGCCCAGGUAAUUUUUGUAUGUUUAGUAGAGAUGGAGUUUCACCAUGUUGGCCAGGGUGGUUUCAAACUCCUGAUCUCAGUUGAUUCGCCCACCUUUGCCUCCCAAAGUGCUGAGAUUACAGGUGUGAGCCACACGCCCGGCACUAACUAACAAUUUAACUCCAAGACUCAGUAAGAAACGAAUGGGGAAGGAAAGACAGAGGCUUCUGGCAUCUCUCCUUCUCCCUUGCCUGCUAGGCCUAGAGAAGAAAAACCAUGGAGGAGGGGAGGUGAUACUGCACAGCCUCAAGAUGCAGCAUAGACGAAUGCAGUCCUUAGCAAAAGGAAAGGGCUUCCCAAUGCAGUGGGCCGGUGUGUUCACCGGCUUGCUGGGUGUCAGUGAGGGAAGACUCUGAGUGCCUUGGGCUUAUGGGCAGAUGAAGAGACAAGAGGAACAAGUACAAACUGCCCAUGUAGCUGCUCCACCCCAGGGAGUCCAGAGUGUAUCCGCUCUAUUGGGAAGAAUUAGAGAGAGGCGAGUAAUAUCCUGACAUUCAGGUGUUCAAUGCCAGCUGUCAGCCUCUGGCCCCUGCCAGUGUUAGGAAUGAUUCCCCUGUCCUCUGGGGUACUGCCCUCCGACGACAACUUAGGAUCAGCAUUUAAAACCCUUUCUGCUCUCGUCUUAGGUAAAUUAUAGACCAGAACGGGUCUAUAAUGGGGACAGGUCCCCAUCCUAACCCCCAGAGACCGUUUCUCUCAAUAGAUGAAUACAAAUAGCUCUCAAUUUUUAAUUUUUAUGUGCAAUAAUGCAAACAUACUUUUUUUUUUUUUUGAGACGGAGUCUCACUCUUUCUCCCAGGCGGGAGUGUAGUGGCGCUAUCUCGACUCACUGCAAGCUCCGCCUCCCGGGUUCACGCCAUUCUCCUGCCUCAGCCUCUGGAGUAGCUGGGACUACAGGUAUCCGCCACCGUGCCCAGCUAAUUUUUUGUAUUUUUAGUAGAGAUGGGGUUUCACCGUGUUAGCCAGGAUGGUCUCGAUCUCAUGACCUCGUGAUCCACCCGCCUUGGCCUCCCAAAGUGCUGGUAUUACAGGCAUGAACCACCACGCCUGGCCGCAAACAUACAUUUUUAUAGCUCCUGAACUAAAUUGGGUAUCAAUACAAAUUACUGUGGUUAGUGUAGGGCUCGGCCUCUGAUGAGUGAGGAUCUUUCCUCAAAGCCCACCUUUGUCCAAAGAAAGAAUCUGAGCCUCCCCUUGACUUAUUUUAUUUUUUGCCAGUUUUGUAAAUGCUGUAUGCUUCCAUACUACCCCCUUCCCUAAUUUCCACCUCUAGAAUUAACUGCCAGAGAUACAGUUGUCCACAUGGAAUGUAGUAUAAUUGUGAUAGAAAGGAAGAAAUCCCCCUUGCUUAGUAUUAAAAGUUUCUGGUUAAAAUAACUGACUAAAUAUUAAGUAAAACAUCACCUUCUGGGUACAAUGCAGAAAAGUAAAAGCAGUUCAUAUAAGAUUACUAAACUUUGGGAGGUCUUCAAGACCAGCCCUGGCAACAUAGCGAGACCCCAUGUCUGCAAAAAAAGUUUUAAAAAUUAGCCGGGCAUGGUGGCGUGCACUUGUAGUCCCAGCUACUCAGGAGGCUGAGGCAGGAGGAUCGCUUGAGCCCAGGAGUCUGAGGUUGCAGUGAGCCGUGGUGACACCACUGCACUCCCGCCUGGGUGACAGAGUGAGAUCCAAAAAAAUUUACUGAAAUAACAAAAACGUGGACUUUGGGAUUUCCUCUAACUGCUGCAAAUUAUAACACAGAAUUGCUCAGUGUUAAUACUUGAAUUGUGGGGCCAAGUCUUCUGGCUGCCCUAGUUCUCUUUUCUGGCAUUUGAAAGCCCUUGAGCUAGCUAUGGAGCUAAUCUUUGGACAGGCUUUUUGGUUCCCAGGAAUGUCAUGCCUUUGAAUUUCCAAUCUAUAUAUAUACAGUGUGUGUGUAUGUAUACCUGUCUUUUCACUGUAAGGCACCUCCACCCAUCCCUUAUAGAAGGAGCCACAAACAAUCAAGCAAAUGGAUGGAGGUUAAUUAAGGGGAAGAGGAAAUAGUCUGUUCUCUGACUCGAGACCUGAAAUUGCAGUGGGGCACGUAAGAGAAAGUGAAGCAACAAAUGAGGAACAUGAGAACACUGGAGUAGAAAGCUGGGUGGGCAUCAGACAGCUGACCAAAAUUUUCACUAUCAAAAUGGCAGAAGUUACCUUUGGGAAUUGCCUUCGGAGUGUUUAUGAGCUGCAAAAGAACAUCAAUUAGUCUUAUUACUUUACAGUUUUCUCUGUCUAUGUAGGGUAAAAACAUUAUAUAUCCAUAUAAAAUAUAUAUCAUUAAAACUUAGCCUGUUGGACAUUUCUUUUUUUAUUUUUAAUUGUAACUUUUGUGGGUACAUGGUGUACAUAUUCAUGGAAUGCAUGAGAUGUUUUGAUACAGGUGUGCAAUGUGUGAUAAUCACAACAUGGAGAAUGGGGUAUCUAUCCCCUCAAGCAUUUAUACUUUGUAUUAUAAACAAUCCAAUUAUACUCUUUUAGUUAUUUUUUAAUGUACGAUUCAAUUAUGAUUGACUAUAGUCACCCUGUUGUGCUAUCAAAUACUAGGUCUUAUUCAGUCUUUCUAAAUUUUUGGUACCCAUUAACCAUUCCCACCCCUCUGCCCUUCCACCACUCUUUCCAGCCAGUUGGACAUUUCUUUUAUAAACUGAAGUAUGUGGCGAAUGACUUUUAACCAUUUCCGAAAAUCAAACACGAUGUAAAAAUAUUACACUUGUGGACUCAGAAUACCAAAAAUAUGUGUUUCCAGCCCUGAUGGCAAUCUUCAAAGAGGGAUUGCAGCAUACCUGGAGUAGCCACAGCACCGUUGUCAGCACUGAGCCCACACAAGUGACUGUUGACACAGGGACCGUAUUCUGUGUAUAUCUAUGUUCUGAGAAUAUUUUGUUGUUGUGGUGGUGGUUGGAAAAGCUUUUAUAUGACAGUUUAUGGCUCACAGUGGUGUCUGGCUGGUGGCCUUCAAUGCAAUGACUCAUAAGAACCUCUCCUUCAGUCACCCUUGAAGACCCAACAAAGCUGGGGAAAGGAGGGGAAUUUCCCGAUACCAUUGACAAUGAAGAUGGACAAGCUAACGGCAGAACCUCAGAAGGAUCUGACUUCAGAUAUGCACGCAGCGUACCCUGGCUUCAUUUCACAAAAACAGUACCCUUUUGCAAAGGGAGGAAGUGACUUUCUCAUGACCCGAACCAGAAAAUAGGCAGCCACGGGACUCUAUGCACUGAUUCCACCUUGGGGAGCAGGCAGAACAUGUCCCCUUUGUGACCACGUUCACUGGCAUCUUUCUGGAUCCAGAUAGAGUGCAAAACUUAGAAACAGCUGAGUGGUACGCAGAGGGGGUACAGGUACAGAUCAUACCGUGCAGGCAGGUAUGACCCUACAAUAAACUGCCCAAGAUAUGUGUUGUA